rnacentral:lncRNA from 1 species
AAAUAUGUUCCAGUGUUUGUUCCAACUAUGAUUAGACAUAUGACCAUAUAAGUAAGGUGUAGGCUCUGGAGUUCCCUUCUGUUUGAUUGUGUCAGAUUUGUUGACUAGAAGAACAGAAACUGAUUUUAUACAAAUCACCAGAAUGAGUCUUCUGUGCACGAAUGCUGGGGAAGAGAAUGAAUAGAGUUAGUCGGAAAAGGAAUGGAGGCUCUGUGUUUUGUAAAUGUGAUUAAAUGAGCCAACCAAAUACACAUAUUAAUAUGAAUCAGCUUCUACUGUGUUCAAAGGUGGAACCAGGCAUACCCAAAUUUGCCAUGAGUUGACAUAAAAACUGGUACUGUCAUGGGGUGUUGUUAAGAAGUGACCCGAGAUGCAAGAAGGAAGAAACAAAAACAAUUCCAAAGUUAAGCUUGGUAUUUCUACAAAUGAGAAUUAAGGGCGAUCAAAGGACUAGAAAGGCAAACUCAAUCUGCCUAUGAGAGAACUGCACAUUCCGAUAACACACUCUGAUACUCUGCACUGGACUCAAUAAGGCCCGCCUACAUUACUAUUUAUAACCUGUCUCAUGUUUGUUCAGUUAACCCAUCCUUUCUAGGAUGAGUAGAAUUCAGUGCAUAUUCCUCCAGUCAAAAGAACUCUUCUAGCCUCAUGCUUCAAGAUUACAAUGGAUGGCUACUAGGCUUCCCUACUGCUGAUACCCUCUAGUUAGCAUACGCUCAAUUACCACUGACAUUAGCUGUUUCUUAAUUCUUUAGGAGUCAAAGUGACAGCUUUAUCAAUAUUUCAUAAAAUUCUUUAAGAAAACUUCAAAGGGCAAAUGAACAAUGUUUUGG